UCAUUUUUCCUCAAGAAAAUUAAUUUUAAAUGAAAGGAAAAGAAAAAUAAUUACAUUUCAUUGAAAAGAUGAAUCCAUGGCGCCAGGCCUGGAGAUGUUAAUGGCCGUUUGACGCUGCUGCUCGAAUUCAGCUCAUCAAUGGAGGACCAACACGAAGAGGCCGCUUAUUCCUCAGGUUAUGAAAUGAACUGGAACUGCAAAGUUUCGUGGUGUUUCCGACUGUUAA